rnacentral:rRNA from 1 species
UACGGAAGGCAGCAGUGGGGAAUAUUGCACAAUGGGCGAAAGCCUGAUGCAGCUAUGCCGCGUGUAUGAAGAAGGCCUUAGGGUUGUAAAGUACUUUCAUCGGGGAGGAAAAAACGAAAACUAAUAAUUUUAUUUCUUGACGUUACCCGAAAAAGAAGCACCGGCUAACUCCGUGCCAGCAGCCGCGGUAAUACGGAGGGUGCUAGCGUUAAUCAGAAUUACUGGGCGUAAAGAGCACGUAGGUGGUUUUUUAAAGUCAGAUGUGAAAUCCUUGGGCUUAACCUAGGAACUGCAUUUUGAAACUGAAAUACUAGAGUAUCGUAGAGGGAGGUAGAAUUCUAGGUGUAGCGGUGAAAUGCGUAGAUAUCUGGAGGAAUACCUGUGGCGAAAGCGGCCUCCUAAACGAAUACUGACACUGAGGGUGCGAAAGCGUGGGGAGCAAACAGGGAUUAGAUACC